rnacentral:rRNA from 1 species
UACGUAGGGUGCGAGCGUUAAUCGGAAUUACUGGGCGUAAAGUGUGCGCAGGCGGCCAUGCAAGUCGAGUGUGAAAGCCCCGGGCUUAACUUGGGAAUUGCGCUCGAAACUACGUGGCUGGAGUGUGGCAGAGGAAGGUGGAAUUCCACGUGUAGCGGUGAAAUGCGUAGAGAUGUGGAGGAACCCCAAUGGCGAAGGCAGCCUUCUGGGCCAACACUGACGCUCAUGCACGAAAGCGUGGGGAGCAAACAGG